rnacentral:rRNA from 1 species
UACGUAGGGGGCAAGCGUUGUCCGGAAUCAUUGGGCGUAAAGCGCGUGUAGGCGGCCCGAUAAGUCCGCUGUGAAAGUUCAGGGCUCAACCCUGGGAUGCCGGUGGAUACUGUCGGGCUCGAGUCCGGAAGAGGCGAGUGGAAUUCCUGGUGUAGCGGUGAAAUGCGCAGAUAUCAGGAGGAACACCCAUGGCGAAGGCAGCUCGCUGGGACGUGACUGACGCUGAGACGCGAAAGCGUGGGGAGCAAACAGG